rnacentral:rRNA from 1 species
AACGUAGGAGACAAACGUUAUCCGGAGUUACUGGGCGUAAAGGGCGUGUAGGUGGUUUCGUAAGUCUGGCGUGAAAUAUCUCGGCUUAACCGAGGCAGGUCGUCGGAUACUGCGGAACUAGAGGACGGUAGAGGCGUGUGGAAUUCCUGGUGUAGCGGUGGAAUGCGCAGAUAUCAGGAGGAACACCGAUGGCGAAGGCAGUUCUCUGGGCCGUAACUGACGCUGAGGAGCGAAAGCGUGGGGAGCGAACAGG